GCCGGACGCGGUGGCGCGCGCCUGUAGUCCCAGCUACUCGGGAGGCUGAGAUGGGAGGAUCGCUUGAGCCCAGGAGUUCUGGGCUGUAGUGCGCUAUGCCGAUCGGGUGUCCGCACUAAGUUCGGCAUCAAUAUGGUGACCUCCCGGGAGCGGGGGACCACCAGGUUGCCUAAGGAGGGGUGAACCGGCCCAGGUCGGAAACGGAGCAGGUCAAAACUCCCGUGCUGAUCAGUAGUGGGAUCGCGCCUGUGAAUAGCCACUGUACUCCAGCCUGGGCAACAUAGCGAGACCCCGUCUCU
rnacentral:SRP_RNA from 1 species